AGCAGCUGUGGUAAUUCCAGCUCCAAUAGCGUAUAUUAAAGUUGUUGCAGUUAAAAAGCUCGUAGUUGAAUUUCGGGGUUAGUAGGUUGGUCGUGCCACUGGUAUGUACUGGUCUCACUGAUUCCUCCUUCCUGAUGAACCGUAAUGCCAUUAAUUUGGUAUUGCAGGGAGACUGGACUGUUACUUUGAAAAAUUAGAGUGUUUAAAGUAGGCUAACGCUUGAAUACAUUAGCAUGGAAUAACAGAAUAGAACGUUCGAUCUUAUUUUGUUGGUUUCUAAGAUUGAUGUAAUGAUUAAUAGGGAUAGUUGGGGUAUUAGUAUUCAAUUGUCAGAGGUGAAAUUCUUGGAUUUUAUUGAAGACUAACUACUGUGAAAGCAUUUGCCAAGGAUGUUUUCAUUAAUCAAGAACGAAAGUUAGGGGAUCGAAGACGAUCAGAUACCAUCGUAGUCUUAACCAUAAACUAUGCUGACUAGG
rnacentral:sRNA from 1 species